UUAAUAAUGUAAUAAAUAAAAAAUUAGAGUAGUAAUAGUUAUGGUCUUGAAACUCAAAAAAUUUGGCGGUAUUUUAGUCUAUUCAGAGGAACCUGUAAUAUAAUCGAUAUUCCACGAUGAACCUUACUUAAUUUUGUUUAAUUUGUAUAUCGCCGUUAUUUGAAAAUUUUAUAAGAAUAAUAAUUUUCUAAAAUUUUUAUUAAAAAAUAAAUCAGGUCAAGGUGCAGUUUAUAGUUAAGUUUUAUAUGGGUUACAAUAAAUUUAUUUAAACGGAUUUAAUAAUGAAAUUAAUUAUUUAAAAAAGGUGGAUUUGAUAGUAAAUUUUUAAAGAUAAAAAAAUUGAUU
rnacentral:rRNA from 1 species